UGCCAGACUCCUACGGGAGGCAGCAGUGGGGAAUAUUGCACAAUGGGGGAAACCCUGAUGCAGCGACGCCGCGUGAGUGAAGAAGUAUUUCGGUAUGUAAAGCUCUGUCAGCAGGGAAGAAAAUGACGGUACCUGACCAAGAAGCCCCGGCUAACUACGUGCCAGCAGCCGCGGUAAUACGUAGGGGGCAAGCGUUAUCCGGAUUUACUGGGUGUAAAGGGAGCGUAGACGGCAGGGCAAGUCUGGAGUGAAAGGCGGGGGCUCAACCCCCGGACUGCUCUGGAAACUGCCAGGCUGGAGUGCAGGAGAGGUAAGUGGAAUUCCUAGUGUAGCGGUGAAAUGCGUAGAUAUUAGGAGGAACACCAGUGGCGAAGGCGGCUUACUGGACUGUAACUGACGUUGAGGCUCGAAAGCGUGGGGAGCAAACAGGAUUAGAUACCCGAGUA
rnacentral:rRNA from 1 species